UGCCGCCGCCGGCUCGCGCACGCCCGCGCGCCCCCUCCCGCCGCGGCCGCGCGUGACCCUCCUCCUCCUCCUCCCGCUGCUGCUCCCCCGUGGGGAGGGGGCGGUUGCUAAGGGAAGGGGGCGCGCGCAGGCGCCAGCCCUUAAAGGGGCCGCGCGGCCGUGGGUGUGAGGGCGGGGGCUCCGCCGGGACCGCCUGCGGGGGGUGACCCGCGGCCCCUGCGCCGGGGGUCGGUGUUCGAAGCCAGGGGCCAGCGGGGGAGCGGGGCGGGCAACCCGGCCGGGCAGAGCCCCGGCAUGGCGGCCGUGGCGCCGUGCCCCUUUCCGCCCCGGCGGGCUUUUUUUACUUAAAACAAUGGCGGCAGCGGGGGCCGCGCAGCCUCUUCUGCUCCCUCUGCACACACAUGCACUGUCACUCCCUUCCAGCCAGCGGGGUGGCACUGGGGGAGCAGGCGAUCUUAAAGUACCUAUGGAGGCAAAAACUAACAACAAAGGCGCUUAAACCCUUUUUUUUUCUUUUUUCCCCAUUUUGGCUGGUGCUUUUUUGUGGCCUUAUUUUCGAACCAGUAUAAGGUACUGCAAGGUAAAUGGACCAAGUGUGCUACAGAAACCUUUAAAAAGAAUAGAAAAAUGUUAAGUCACUUAAAGGAAUUCCCUGUCCCUGAGUGUUACUGCAAAAUCCUAUUUAAUUUGCAGAGUGCUUUACGCUCUCUCGCAGGUGCUAAAAAGGCAUAAAGAAAAAAGCUCAGUCACAAUCAAUUCUGUGCGGUUCAAAAUGGAAGCGUGCAGCCCUGCAGCUGACUUCACGUGGAGCUCGCCGCCCUGCGUUGCCUGGCACGCACCGGAGCCGCGCGUUCUCCUGCGUUAGCGCCGCUUUGGGGUGAGGAGGGGGUGCGUUUCGGAAUUAUACCCUCUGGGAAAAGGGGAACUGUGGUGAGGGCUGUAGGCAAUGGCCAUCCUGCUUCUGCUGCCUUCUCACCCCAAUAGCUGCCUGCAGAGCACGGGCACCCCUCAGCUGCCCGCUUUUCAGCCAGCCUGGCAGGGGGCACUUGUAGCCCCUGGGGCCUUUGCUAACCCCAUUUGCCAUUCCCCUUUCCUUUCCAGCUCCGAAGUUCCACUCAGAAGGAGAAUAUUCUGGAAAUGGCUCUAUAUAUCAGUACCAGCAGGGAUGUAUUUCCCAAAAACAAAGGUGGGCAGGUAGGAGAACUAGCCCUUUCAUCACUGCCUGUGACUCAGACAAGAUCUGUCACAGUGUUUUGUUCUUUUUCACCUUAGCAGAUGAAACGUUGCAGCCAACGCAAGCUCUCUGGCCAGAGAAAAAGUGACUCAAGAGAGGACACAUUCCCCACCACCUCAUCCUCAUUCAAAGGGGGGUGGAUAGAGAGGCUGCCGAAUGCUGACAGAGAAGAGCUGUCAAAUGGACAGUCACAGGCCCUGAUUCAGUGAAACACUUAAGCCCAAAACAACCUGGAAGAUGGCACUCCCAGGACAGCUACUGUUCACUACAAGCGCUGAAACAGAGUAUUUUUUUGGCACCUCACUGCCCUCCAGACCGUGGUGCCAUAGGAUGCACCAUAGCACAUCUUGCUAGCACAGACAAGCCAGAGCACAGAAGCAAUAAGCUUUGUGGGAGCAAAAAGACCUUUCUCAACAGAAUCACUGAGAUGCAGGAUUUGGGGCACACCAGCACUCCAGAAGAGCUGUCCUGGCGCCGCAGCAUUGUGCGAGGACGUCAAGAACUCCCUAACGCAGAGCAGCAGUCACCCUGCCAUCGGUGUCCUCCUCUUCAAAUUCUAAUCCAUCAAAGACCAACCGUCCCCAGGUCACCUCUGUACAGCCCUAGCCCAGUGGGUUAAAAAUUAAUAAAAACCUAACCUCCUCAAAUCAAAGUAAUGAGUAAUGUCAGAAACAGCCUUUUGCAGGCUUCAUUCUUCAUUGAUCCUUCUUUACUGAUUGUUUCUCACGCAUGCACACACACACAUUUUCCAUUCCUUUUCCAGCCAUGCUGCAUGUUUAUACCAACAGAAGCGACCAGUGGAAAACAAUUCAGCUGUAGAAUUAAAGCAAGGGGAAGUAAAUGACCACACAAAAAGACCAUAAGGUAAAUGUCAGUUUUCAUAUUUAAUAUUUUAAUAAUGUUGUUUGCAACAUUUACCACAUAAAUCAUCUAAAUAAAUAGAUGCUGUACAGUCUCUUAUCCAUAUCAGUACAAAAAUAAAACCACACUUUGUGUCAAAUUAUACUUGAACCUGCCCUCCCUUUGCUAUUACAAUCUCCUUUUACAGCACAUACUCGCUCAGAAAAGGCAUUUAUAUUCCAAUUGGUUUGUUUGGAAUUGGUUUACUCCCUGUUUCC